GCAUCCAUAGCUCAGUUGGUAGAGCAUCUGACUCUUAAUCAGCAGGUCACCGGUUCGAGCCCGGUUGGGUGCA
rnacentral:tRNA from 1 species